rnacentral:rRNA from 1 species
ACGAACGCUGGCGGCGUGCUUAACACAUGCAAGUCGAACGGUGAACAAGGAGCUUGCUUCUUGGGAUCAGUGGCGAACGGGUGAGUAACACGUGAGUAACCUGCCCUUGACUCUGGGAUAAGCGUUGGAAACGACGUCUAAUACCGGAUAUGACCUCCGACGGCAUCGUCUGGGGGUGGAAAGAAUUUUGGUUGAGGAUGGACUCGCGGCCUAUCAGCUUGUUGGUGAGGUAAUGGCUCACCAAGGCGACGACGGGUAGCCGGCCUGAGAGGGUGACCGGCCACACUGGGACUGAGACACGGCCCAGACUCCUACGGGAGGCAGCAGUGGGGAAUAUUGCACAAUGGGCGCAAGCCUGAUGCAGCAACGCCGCGUGAGGGAUGACGGCCUUCGGGUUGUAAACCUCUUUUAGUAGGGAAGAAGCGAAAGUGACGGUACCUGCAGAAAAAGCACCGGCUAACUACGU